UAAAUAAAAUAAAAUGUCUUCUUUGAACGCGACCCAAUAGAUGUGGUCGCGUCUAUUCUGUGGUAUGGUGGCGCCGCGCCGUCGCCUUGUUAGUUGACCCUGGACUUGACUUGAUGUCUCGUUUAUAGUGCUCUCUGUAAUUAAAUGUUUAAUGGUUUGCAGUAAACAGCAUAUGGGUGGUCACAAUCGUUUGUACUUGGUCCAAGGUUACAUACAAGCUGACUACAAUCGCAAAAGAAUGCGUCGGAGAUAAUCCAGUCCGGUUCACACCAGCCUGAACUACUUCAACCCUCCAGGUACAACACUGGCUUGCGCCGUAUUUUCCCUGCCUUUUAAAAUUGUAGGUCGUUUUAAUACGAGCCGGUUUUCACCAACCAAUAUUAAAACCACCGAUUUCUGCAGAACCUUGUAAACAAAAAUAGAAACGAGAAGUGACGUUUGGGAGCUUAGUACAGUCGUGAAGCGAAUGAGGAUCAGUCCGUCUCCUCUGGUGAAUUCGCCUUUUAUUUCCACCUAGACCUGGAGGUGGAAUUGGAAGGGCUGCCUGCGUACAUAGAAUGUGCGGUAACUGAUAUGGGGAUUAAACACUAGCACCACCUGUUGGUCCAUUACAACGUGAAAGAGGAAGAAGAAGAAAGAGGAACGAUCGGUGUUUAUUAUAUGCGUCAGGCGAUAUUUCUGCAUAAUCCUUUCUAACAUUUUCUGGCCUCCAUCAGCCA